rnacentral:rRNA from 1 species
UACGGGGGGGGCAAGCGUUGUUCGGAAUUACUGGGCGUAAAGGGCUCGUAGGCGGCCAACUAAGUCAGACGUGAAAUCCCUCGGCUUAACCGGGGAACUGCGUCUGAUACUGGUUGGCUUGAGUGUGGGAGAGGGAUGCGGAAUUCCAGGUGUAGCGGUGAAAUGUGUGAGAUAUCUGGAGGAACACCGGUGGCGAAGGCGGCAUCCUGGACCAUUACUGACGCUGAGGAGCGAAAGCCAGGGGAGCAAACGGG